rnacentral:rRNA from 1 species
GGGAUUCCCCUAGUAACGGCGAGUGAAGCGGGAACAGCUCAAAUUUGAAAUCUGGCCCUUGGGUCCGAGUUGUAAUUUGCAGAGGAUGCUUUUGGUGCGGUGCCUUCCGAGUUCCCUGGAACGGGACGCCUUAGAGGGUGAGAGCCCCGUACGGUUGGCCACCAAGCCUGUGUAAAGCUCCUUCGACGAGUCGAGUAGUUUGGGAAUGCUGCUCAAAAUGGGAGGUAUAUUUCUUCUAAAGCUAAAUACUGGCCAGAGACCGAUAGCGCACAAGUAGAGUGAUCGAAAGAUGAAAAGCACUUUGAAAAGAGGGUUAAAUAGCACGUGAAAUUGUUGAAAGGGAAGGAUUUAUGACCAGACUUUUUCUGGGGGGAUCAUCCGGUGUUCUCACCGGUGCACUUCCCCCAGUGGAGGCCAGCAUCGGUUUCGGCCGGGGGAUAAAAGCUUCGGGAAUGUGGCUCCUUCGGGAGUGUUAUAGCCCGUUGCAUAAUACCCUGGCGGGGACCGAGGUUCGCGCAUUGCAAGGAUGCUGGCGUAAUGGUUAUUAAUCACCCGUCUUGAAACACGGACCAAGGAGUCGAACAUUUGUGCGAGUGUUUGGGUGUUAAACCCUCACGCGUAAUGAAAGUGAACGGAGGUGAGAGCCCCUCGGGGUGCAUCAUCGACCGAUCCUGAUGUCUUCGGAUGGAUUUGAGUAAGAGCAUAACUGUUCGGACCCGAAAGAUGGUGAACUAUGCGUGGAUAGGGUGAAGCCAGAGGAAACUCUGGUGGAGGCUCGCAGCGGUUCUGACGUGCAAAUCGAUCGUCAAAUCUGCGCAU